rnacentral:miRNA from 1 species
AAGCCCUUACCUCAAAAGG